CCACGCCACGCUGAGGUGAAGAUACGCAGGACGUCCUCUAAAGCAACUUCCGUGGGUGCCAGGUUAUGGGCUGGGGGCGGUGCUGACCUUGAGAGCGCGUAGGAGGCGCAGGCGCAGCACAGGUAAGUGGGCGGGCGGAGCGCAGUGGCUGCGUUUGCGAGGACCCUGAGGUGCCAAUUGAAGUCAGAAGAACAUCUACCAAGAGCAGAGAAACCAGGAAGAAAAUUCUGCCUGUUUAACACGUUCCAAUAUGGACGUUUUCCAUCUAGAUAUAUAUAUCAGAUGCAAAUAAGUGAAACCCCCAUAUACCUUUUAAUUUUGUGUUUUUUCCAAACUCUGUUCCCUUCGACUUUUUCUGCCUUUUUGUUUAAUUAUAAUGAGACAUCGUACUGGAGACAGGCUUGAAAUGGAUGUACAGAAUACUUUAAACCCAGAAAUUUGUCUCAUAACUUGGGGAUCCUUACUUAGGUUGUAGCUAUCAGUAAUUUUAUCCAGGAGGUCACUUUGUACCAUAGUGUGACAUUUUGUUACGAAAUUGGAAUUAGUAAGGGAAACUAAGAAGUUUUGGGAGAAAUAAAAAAGGUUGAGUAGGCAGACGUAGUUAUAGAUAUUAAGUUUUAUCCUCCUUAUCAAAGUACCUGGAGGGCGUGGUAUCCAAGCUAUAAAUGGCCCAAAGACUCGAGGAAUCGGAGUUCUCAGCCAUCUAAAAGAAGCAUGCACAGGGCAGUUGCUUUAUAUCAGGAAAGGGGACAGAGACUGAAUGCGUGAGGCUUUUUUGUUUGUUUGUUUUAUAAGUUUAAAUUUUGUUUUGUGGGGGGGCGAACAGCAUGACAAUUAAAGAAGAUCUAGGAAUCAUAAGUAUUGACAGAACAACUGGAGGGUAGGUGGAACUGGAGAAUAGUUUGUGAAACAUCUUGCUGAGGAUGAAUCCAGAACUUCCUGAAGGGUUCCUCUUCUGCUGUGUAGGGACAAGGUUGUAAAUAGACAAGCCACAGGGUAUUCUGCAAAUGCUAAGUGUGGUAGAGAGGGGCUGGAAUUGUCUGUUGGUGUAUCUGUGGGAGGCAGCUGCUAUCCUUGGAGAAGAAAACGUGGAGAAGCAGAGCAACUGGGGAACCUAAUUCUGACCAACAAGGAGGAAUUGCUUGGCUAAUUGGAAGUGACAGAAACCUUGGGAGAAAGCAACCACAUACCAAGGAUAAUUAUAAAAAGGUAACAUGGGCCCUAAAGGAUAGUGUCAAGAAACCUGAAACCCCAAAUGAGAUGAGACUUGCAAAAAAUGCUAAGGGAGGAUGAAGAACAGGCCUUUUAAAAUUCUGCUCAGAACCAGAAGAUGAUCAAGAAAGGGAAAAGCCCACUAGCAGCUUCUAGUGUAAGGUUAGAGCUGACAGAGAAAGAACUCCUUAAUUGUUAUUUGCUUCAUUCUCGACAAAGGAAACUAGAAAAGUGGGUUGACAUAAUAGAAAGAACAUGUGUUCAUGGAAUAAGGCAAAC